GGGUGAGUAACACGUAGGUAACCUACCUCUAAGUUUGGGAUAACCUGUCGAAAGAUGAGCUAAUACUGAAUAAGACCACAGUUUCCUCGGAAGCAGGGGUCAAAGGUAGCCUCUAUUUAUAAGCUAUCACUUAGAGAUGGGCCUGCGUACCAUUAGCUAGUUGGUGAGGUAAUGGCUCACCAAGGCUACGAUAGGUAGGGGGCCUGAGAGGGUGACCCCCCACACUGGUACUGAGACACGGACCAGACUCC
rnacentral:rRNA from 1 species